rnacentral:pre_miRNA from 1 species
CAGCAUCUCCUGCUCCGCCUGACCUCCCCGCCACGUGGUGGCCGGGCGGGGGCCUCGGGGUGGCAC